rnacentral:lncRNA from 1 species
CCACCACAAAGAACAAGAAGUCUGUUUCAUAUGCAAAUAGCAAACCAUGUCCAUAAAUUACUUGUGCUCACACAGUUGCACAUACACUUCAGCCAAGGUAAUUUAUCCUAUGUGGCUAAACAUCUUGAUCAUCUUAACUGUGAAGAUGUAAUGGGAAAACACUGCCAAAUGCUUUGAGAGAUCUCUCAUGUAUGGUUUCUCCCAUCGAGUUGAAUAAAAGGCAGGACACUUAAGGUUGGUCUUGUUGAAUCUAGAAUUUAGUCCUUGGAAUUCACAGUCCAGCAACUCAAAUCCUAAAAGGUCAUCCAAGGAUAAUCAGGAAAUUGGGAACUCAUCCUGGUAACAUCCUGCUAGUCAACCUCUGUGGAGCCUGACUUGGAAGGCAGGGUGCUGACAUGGUUUCAGAACAUGGAGAUUCACUUGGUCCAUAUCCAAUGCUAGGGCACGGACGGCCUCCAUAUGUCAGGUUAACAGACAACAUUUAGACCUCAAUAUUAUUUGAAACAGGUUUGGCCACAUUGCCCAGGCUGGUCUCAAACUCCUGGCCUCAAGCAAUUGCCCACCUCGGCCUCCCAAAGUGCUGGGAUUAUACGCAUGAGCCACCAGGCCAGGCCCUGCAGGAUAUUUGUUGAAGUCAACCUCUGGUUGUUGGUAAGCGGCUGUUGUCCGUUUCUAAUAAAAAGUGUUGAAGACAGUAUCUAGACUCUGAGUCCCUUCUCUGUGUGGUGCUGAAGACACCAGAAAAUAGCAGUAGGAUCGGAUCCUCCUCACAUGGCAUCUCCUAUCCAUCCCAAGAAUCCUCUGUCAACACAUGACCUCAGGACAAACAUGUUACAAUUCAUUACAUCGCCGAUUAUCUUUCAUUAGUUACAUUUGAAUCGGUGCUUCCCUAAUGGUAUUUUAGGCACCAUCCUCAUUGCAGCAGCAGCCCAUUUACAACGCAUCGCUUGGGGAGAGUUACUUCCUGGGAAGAUUUCCACAGAUGGCUGAUGGCAUGCAUUUUGUGUUUGGCAGGCAUAACCAUGACUCCCUUGAGGCUUCACAGCAAACCGGGAAGCCUUCCAGUCUGUGUGGCUGAAUUUCAACCCCUCGGGCAAGGUAGAUGGCGUCUUAAGGUAUCUUCUUGAGCGCUCAGGCUCACUGGAAGUUGUUGAACAACACAAACAAAGCAAGCCAAGGCUGAAUUUACAACAGGCCACCUACCCCCGCCAGCCCCUGCCAGAAUGAAAGUCAAUUUCUGGCAUUUGGAGGGAAAUGAUCAAACAUUGUUCGGUAGGAAACUCAGAAAGGCUUGCCUACAAAUAGUUUCCACCAGGCAAGAGCUUCAGCUGGCAGGGCUCUAUAUAUAGGACUCACACGAGGGAGGUCUGCAGCCCCGUCUGUGCGGAUAGUACACCCUUCCAGGCUGAAAAUAUUGGUCAUACACAAAUCCUGUCAGACAUAAUGGGAAAACAAGAGUAGACAAUGGACCUCAUGUGGGCGGAAGGCUUCAUCCAGAAAUCCAAGUACCUGCAGGCAAAGUUUGAAGUUCCACUUUCAUUCAUUGAACAAAAGCUCGUGAGUGCCUUUUACGCAGCCAGACGCUGCGCUAUACACUAUGAAUAGAACAGCUAAUAAAAACAGAUGUUUACUCAGACAUUUAAAAAUAUUAAUUGUAGAAUGCAUAAUUAUCCUAUGCAACACUCGGAAUGAAAAAAUAAUGCUGCCUAUUCAACAUAUCCAUUUUAAGGUGCAUUCUGAUUUCACAGAUGUUAAAAUAUGAAAAAUGUACAUUUCAUAAUCAAUAAAAAAUGGUUAUUCUUGCCUUUACUGGGGGUAGAUAUUAAGCAAAUAUAUAAAUAAAUGUAUAAUGACAAGUAAAAUGUUACAAAUUUUGAUAAGUGUCAUUUUAAAAGAAAAUAAGGUAUAAGCUUUAUGUGGACAUAUGUUCUGAAUUGUUACCUUUACGCUUACAUUCCAAAGUGUAAAAUUUUCUAAACUCAUCUCUAAAUUAUGGAGUCAUCUACCCUGCAUCUUGAAGCCUCGUAUGUACAUCCCGUUCCAUAUGGCUUAAUAGAAAAGUGCAACUUUGGGGUCAGACAGACCUGAACUUAAAUCCCAGCUAUGUGACAUCAGAUAUUUUGUCUCCUAAAUUAGACGUUAGAAAUAAAACCACUUACCUAAAACUGGUAAUGAUUUAAAUAUAUUUAAAUCUCCUAGAUCCUCAUAGGCACCUAAUAAAUGAAAUAUAUAACCACAUUUUUUAUCUGCAAAAGAGUUAUGACUACCAUUUAUGGCAAUAUCAAUGGAGAGGACGAAUUCCUAAAUCUUAACCUAACCCACACAUUUCAGUCGAGAGCUGGUUGAAAAUUUUGCUCUCAAUUUCUGAGUAUGUCCUAGCAAAAGAGUGGAUCCAAGUUUUAUCAGUUACUAGCUACACGUUUUUCAUGGAUUUCCAUCUUUAAGAAUGUCUUACUGAGGCCCAACAGGAUCAAACACAUUCAUCAGUUUAAUAGCCUUGUAAACAAUGAUACAAACUACAGCAUAUAAAAAUGGCAAAUGAGUUCAGUGGGAUGAGAGAGUUCCAUAUUUCACCCAUCAAGCGCUGCACAUUUGUCUUCACGCUUUACCAUAUUGAAAUGUGGUCAUUCCAAAUGCAACAUGAUAUUUCAUCUUAUAUUCAAUGCCCUCUUAUAAUUGCUGUUGGCCAGACAAAAAUCAUGACAUGAGUGUCCUUACCAGAGCUUGUGCACACCCAGCUGUCACCCAAGUGGCACCACAAGGCCACAACAAUACCAGGAAGUUACAGCCAACAAACCACAGAAGCUCCAUGUGAGGAAGAAAUGUGUGUCCCGGUUGUUUUCUAGAAAUCUUCACUGUCACCUUCUGGGAAGAUCCAGAAAACACCAGCACUGCAACUUGCAGGAAGGAUGUUAGUAGAUUGGAAGAAAAUCCCAGAAGAGUCAGACCCUACAUGUGAAGAAGUUUUAGAAGUUUCUUAACUAAUUCAUUGCACUUAUCUUUGUAUGGAUGCAUGGGGGUGAUGUUUAAAAGAGCUUCAAUUAAAAUAAAAUUGAAAUUCUAAGAAAGCAAUGAAGCCUAGUUUAAUGGACAGGUGUUUUUCCUUCUUGGUGGUUAAUGACACAGUAAUGUGUUUCAUCUGAUAAUGGAUUAGGUCAGAUGAAUACAGUUUUGUGAGUUCUAAUGAUCAAAGGAAACUUUUGGAGAAGGGAGAAUUUAAGGCAAGCCCUAUAGAAGAAUAAGAUUCAAAUUAGUAGAUAGGAAAACUAGAGUGUAACAUAUGUGAAAAAUUAUCUUGGAGACUGGAAUUCAACAGAGCCCGUCUUGUGCUGCAAUUUUAAGUAAAAAUGAUUGAUUAAUCUCUGAAAGGUAUGUUGAGGCUGAAUGGUGGGCGUCAAUCUAAGGUAGUGGGCCUUGCAGGCAAUUAAGGAGUCACUGAAUUAAUGAAAGUCUUGUUUAGGAAGGUUAUGCUGGUAUUAUAGCUGCACGCCGGUAAGGAUGAAGUAGAGAGAGACUGAAGGCAGUCUCCUGGGCAUGAAGAAAUAAAGAAUUCAAUAGAGGGAGGUGGAAACUGUGGUCACCCAAACAACCUAAAAAUGAAUAAACUCGCAAGCUGAAUAAAAGGGGCAAGUCUCCUUGUCUCUGUCCAAUAUAUUGCUGCCCCUAAGCUACUCCUCUAGAGAAAUCCUGGUUGAGGAAGGAAUGAGAAAGAACAGAUAGAACACACCAGAAAGAAAAAAAACACACACAAAUAACAAUGGAACUUGACAACCGGUAACAGAGAAAAGGACACCAUUGUCAGAGAGGAUUCCAUGUUUCCCAGCUUGGGUAAA